UGAGGAAUAUUGGUCAAUGGGCGAGAGCCUGAACCAGCCAAGUAGCGUGCAGGAUGACGGCCCUAUGGGUUGUAAACUGCUUUUAUAUGGGAAUAAAGUGAGGGACGUGUCCCUUAUUGCAUGUACCAUACGAAUAAGGACCGGCUAAUUCCGUGCCAGCAGCCGCGGUAAUACGGAAGGUUCGGGCGUUAUCCGGAUUUAUUGGGUUUAAAGGGAGCGUAGGCCGUUUGGUAAGCGUGUUGUGAAAUGUAGGAGCUCAACUUCUAGAUUGCAGCGCGAACUGUCAGACUUGAGUGCGCACAACGUAGGCGGAAUUCAUGGUGUGGCGGUGAAAUGCUUAGAUAUCAUGAAGAACUCCGAUUGCGAAGGCAGCUUACGGGAGCGCAACUGACGCUGAAGCUCGAAGGUGCGGGUAUCGAACAGG
rnacentral:rRNA from 1 species